rnacentral:rRNA from 1 species
UUCGAGCUCGGUACCCGGGGAUCCUCUAGAGAUUGGAUCCGAUAUCAGAGUUUGAUCCUGGCUCAGGAUGAACGCUGGCGGCGUGCCUAAUACAUGCAAGUCGAGCGAAUGAUGAGGAGCUUGCUCCUCUGAUUUAGCGGCGGACGGGUGAGUAACACGUGGGUAAUCUGCCUGUAAGACGGGGAUAACUCCGGGAAACCGGGGCUAAUACCGGAUAAUAAGAGAAGAAGCAUUUCUUCUUUUUGAAAGUCGGUUUCGGCUGACACUUACAGAUGAGCCCGCGGCGCAUUAGCUAGUUGGUGAGGUAACGGCUCACCAAGGCGACGAUGCGUAGCCGACCUGAGAGGGUGAUCGGCCACACUGGGACUGAGACACGGCCCAGACUCCUACGGGAGGCAGCAGUAGGGAAUCUUCGGCAAUGGGCGAAAGCCUGACCGAGCAACGCCGCGUGAGCGAUGAAGGCCUUCGGGUCGUAAAGCUCUGUUGUUAGAGAAGAACAAGUACGAGAGUAACUGCUCGUACCUUGACGGUACCUAACUAGAAAGCCACGGCUAACUACGUGCCAGCAGCCGCGGUAAUACGUAGGUGGCAAGCGUUAUCCGGAAUUAUUGGGCGUAAAGCGCGCGCAGGCGGUCUCUUAAGUCUGAUGUGAAAGCCCACGGCUCAACCGUGGAGGGUCAUUGGAAACUGGGAGACUUGAGUGCAGGAGAGAAAAGUGGAAUUCCACGUGUAGCGGUGAAAUGCGUAGAGAUGUGGAGGAACACCAGUGGCGAAGGCGGCUUUUUGGCCUGUAACUGACGCUGAGGCGCGAAAGCGUGGGGAGCAAACAGGAUUAGAUACCCUGGUAGUCCACGCCGUAAACGAUGAGUGCUAGGUGUUGGGGGGUUCCACCCUCAGUGCUGAAGUUAACACAUUAAGCACUCCGCCUGGGGAGUACGACCGCAAGGUUGAAACUCAAAGGAAUUGACGGGGGCCCGCACAAGCAGUGGAGCAUGUGGUUUAAUUCGAAGCAACGCGAAGAACCUUACCAGGUCUUGACAUCCUUUGACCACUCUAGAGAUAGAGCUUUCCCCUUCGGGGGACAAAGUGACAGGUGGUGCAUGGUUGUCGUCAGCUCGUGUCGUGAGAUGUUGAGUUAAGUCCCGCAACGAGCGCAACCCUUGACCUUAGUUGCCAGCAUUCAGUUGGGCACUCUAAGGUGACUGCCGGUGACAAACCGGAGGAAGGUGGGGAUGACGUCAAAUCAUCAUGCCCCUUAUGACCUGGGCUACACACGUGCUACAAUGGAUGAUACAAAGGGUUGCGAAGCCGCGAGGCCAAGCCAAUCCCAAAAAGUCAUUCUCAGUUCGGAUUGUAGGCUGCAACUCGCCUACAUGAAGCCGGAAUUGCUAGUAAUCGCGGAUCAGCAUGCCGCGGUGAAUACGUUCCCGGGCCUUGUACACACCGCCCGUCACACCACGAGAGUUUGUAACACCCGAAGUCGGUGGGGUAACCCUUUUGGGAGCCAGCCGCCGAAGGUGGGACAGAUGAUUGGGGUGAAGUCGUAACAAGGUAACCGAUAUCGGAUCCAAUCGUCGACCUGCAGGCAUGCAAGCUU